rnacentral:rRNA from 1 species
CGAAGAACCUUACCAGGUCUUGACAUCCCCUGACAACCCGAGAGAUCGGGCGUUCCCCUUCGGGGGACAGGGUGACAGGUGGUGCAUGGUUGUCGUCAGCUCGUGUCGUGAGAUGUUGGGUUAAGUCCCGCAACGAGCGCAACCCUCGACCCUUAGUUGCCAGCAUUCAGUUGGGCACUCUAAGGUGACUGCCGGCUAAAAGUCGGAGGAAGGUGGGGAUGACGUCAAAUCAUCAUGCCCCUUAUGACCUGGGCUACACACGUGCUACAAUGGGCGGUACAAAGGGUCGCGAACCCGCGAGGGGGAGCCAAUCCCAAAAAAGCCGCUCUCAGUUCGGAUUGCAGGCUGCAACUCGCCUGCAUGAAGCCGGAAUCGCUAGUAAUCGCGGAUCAGCAUGCCGCGGUGAAUACGUUCCCGGGCCUU